rnacentral:rRNA from 1 species
GAUGAACGCUGGCGGCGUGCUUAAUACAUGCAAGUCGAACGAAGCACUUCUCCCGUUGAUUGAAUUAGCUUGCUAAUGAUUGAAACAAUUGAAGUGACUGAGUGGCGGACGGGUGAGUAACGCGUGGGUAACCUGCCUUGUACAGGGGGAUAACAGUUGGAAACGACUGCUAAUACCGCAUAAGCGCACAGUACCGCAUGGUACGGUGUGAAAAACUCCGGUGGUACAAGAUGGACCCGCGUCUGAUUAGCUAGUUGGUGAGGUAACGGCCCACCAAGGCAACGAUCAGUAGCCGACUUGAGAGAGUGAUCGGCCACAUUGGGACUGAGACACGGCCCAAACUCCUACGGGAGGCAGCAGUAGGGAAUAUUGCACAAUGGGGGAAACCCUGAUGCAGCGACGCCGCGUGAAGGAUGAAGUAUUUCGGUAUGUAAACUUCUAUCAGCAAGGAAGAAAAUGACGGUAC